rnacentral:ncRNA from 2 species
CUCUUAUCCGGAGUGGUGGAGGGACUAGCCCGAUGAAACCCGGCAACCAGCUUGACACGCUAUGAUUUCAUGGCAUGCACAAAGCAUGGUGCUAAUUCUUGCAGGAGAUUCUUCUGACAGAUAAGAG